UACAGAGGGGGCAAGCGUUGUUCGGAAUUACUGGGCGUAAAGGGCGCGUAGGCGGCCUACUAAGCCAUACGUGAAAUCCCACGGCUCAACCGUGGAACUGCGUCUGAGACUGGAAGGCUUGAAUUCGGGAGAGGGAUGCGGAAUUCCAGGUGUAGCGGUGAAAUGCGUAGAUAUCUGGAGGAACACCGGUGGCGAAGGCGGCAUCCUGGACCGACAUUGACGCUGAGGCGCGAAAGCCAGGGGAGCAAACGGG
rnacentral:rRNA from 1 species